CCCCUAGACGUUCUGGGCUGCACGCGCGCUACAAUAAUACGCACAGCGAGUAUCACCGAGCUCGAAAGGGCAAGGUAAACAAUAGAAAAGGUACUGUAAUGGUUAUAGAUCCUUGUAAUUAUUGAUCUUCAACGAGGAAUUCCUAGUAAGUAUGUGUCAUCAUCACGCACUGAUUACGUCCCUGCCCUUUGUACACACCGCCCGUCGCUCCUACCGAUUGAGUGAGCCGAUGAAACUGCCGGAUGUGGACUACUCAUAGUCUGCAGAAGAUAUUUGAAUCGUAGCGCUUAGAGGAAGGAGAAGUCGUAACA
rnacentral:rRNA from 1 species